ACUCUGGCAAGGGGCUUCCUCAUGGUUUUAAUUAGACAAUUAAUUUUUUAUUGCAUCGUUUGAUUUCCAGAGCCGGUUCCACUCUCCCUCUUGUCCCCCACCUGCCUCCCAGCUGUGAACAGGAAAGGAGAGAUGGGGAUUCAGGAAGGGCACAGAGAAAAACCUGUCUGCCUUUGAGCUGAUUUAGGAGUGGCGGGGAGGGGGCGGGAAUCCUCUGCCACCCCAGCUUGUCUAGCACCAGAGACACUGUCCAGAGCCCAGACCUGUGCUUUCAGAGCCUGCACAAAGGCAUUCUGAGCUGCUCCUCCCAAGCUUCUCCCUGCUGCUGGGCUAAUUAGUAACACAGGGUGGGGGUAGGGGCAGGGAGCAGUGCCCCGAAAUACAUUAGCGGCAUUUCUGUGGUUAAUCCUGGCCGUGCUUAGAGGCUGUUUACCCUCUACCCAGGGAUUAGGAACCUGUUUGAGUUAGAAGGGCAGGGAGAGGCCAGUGCUUGGCUCUGUCCUCCACCUGCUUUCAGGAGCUGGGGCGGGGGUGCUGAGCCAGCGAGGGGUGGGGAAGUAGUGAGAGAAACCUGUCUCCAAUCUGUCUCCCCUUAUUGAUCUCCUGCCUUCCAGCAGCUUGGCCUGCUUUUGAAUCUUUAUCCUUCCCCCAGCCACCCGCCCCAAGUUUCACCCCUCGCCACUGCCCUUGUCAAAUAUCACCCUGGCUUGGAAAGGUGGAGAAGAAGGGAAGAGUGAGGGGAUGAAGUGUUUAAGCUGUGGGGAUGAGCCUGGCUGUGGAAGGGCUCCCUAUAUGUCACGUAUGUUCUCUUGGAGGAGUAGGGAGCCCCCUCUCGAGAUUUCUGACUAUGCUCAUAUUCCGCCCUGAAAGAAGAAGAGAAGGCUAGACUCUAGGAAGAACUUACUUUCAGUAGCAGAAACAGGUAGCUCCUUCUUUAAGGUUUUAUGAUAUGCCAAGUCCAAUAUUUCACUGACAACAACAUUGCUCAGAGGCCUUAAAAUGGAAUGGAGAGGGCUGUUUCCUCAGGUGUCCUGUUGGUGGGGACAUUGUCACUCGUUGUUUCAGCACAAGGGCUCUUUCUGGAAGUGUGUGUUCAUGCACACAUACACACUCACCCACA
rnacentral:lncRNA from 10 species